rnacentral:rRNA from 1 species
AAUCACUUGUCUUUUAAAUGAAGACCCGUAUGAAAGGCAUAACGAGGGCUUAACUGUCUCCUCUUUCCAGUCAAUGAAACUGAUCUCCCCGUGCAGACGCGGGGAUAAUACCAUAAGACGAGAAGACCCUAUGGAGCUUCAGACAUAAGGUAGACUAUUUCAAACACCCCUCGACAAGGAUUGAAUCUAAUAGAAACCUGCCCCUGUCUUAGGUUGGGGCGACCCUGGGGAAACACAAAACCCCCAUGUGGAUAGGGAGAACCCCUAAAAACCCGAGAUACAACUCUAAUUAACAGAAUCUCUGACCAAAAUUGAUCCGGACGAACCCGAUUAACGGAACAAGUUACCCUAGGGAUAACAGCGCUAUCCCCUUUUAAAGUCCAUAUAGACAAGGGGGUUUACGACCUCGAUGUUGGAUCAGGACAUCCUAAUGGUGCAG